UACGUAGGUGGCAAGCGUUGUCCGGAUUUACUGGGCGUAAAGAGCGCGCAGGCGGUCGUGCAAGUCGCGUGUGAAAGCCCCCGGCUCAACUGGGGAGGGUCACGCGAUACUGCUCGACUUGAAGGCAGGAGAGGGAAGUGGAAUUCCCGGUGUAGUGGUGAAAUGCGUAGAUAUCGGGAGGAACACCAGCGGCGAAGGCGACUACCUGGCCUGUUCUUGACGCUGAGGCGCGAAAGCUAGGGGAGCAAACGGG
rnacentral:rRNA from 1 species